rnacentral:rRNA from 1 species
AUUGAACGCUGGCGGCAGGCCUAACACCUGCAAGUCGAGCGGAGCGGCGGACGGGUGCGUAAUGCCUAGGGAGCAGCCUGGUAGUAGGGGAUAAAGUACGGAAGCGGGCGCUUAUACAGCAUGAUUAAAGAGGCGCCUAGGUCGGAUGAGCUAGUUGGUGGUGUAAAGGCCUACCAAGGCGACGAUCCUUAACUGGGCUGAGAGGAUGAUCAGGCACAUGGGAACUGAGACACGGUCCAGAUUCCUACGGGAGGCAGCAUGGGGGAAUAGUGGACAAUGGGCGAAAGCCUGAUCCAGCUACGCCGCGUGUGUGAAGAAGGUCUUCGGAUGGUAGAGCACUUUAAUUUGGGAUGCGUUACCAACAGACUAAGCACCGGCUAACGUCGUGCCAGCCGCCGCGGUAAUUC